AGUUAGUGGUGGAAGGAGUGAGAAAAGAAAAGAAGAGAUAUAAAAUGACAUGGAGUGAAAUAAUAUCAAAAGAUCUAUAAUUUUUGGAUAUUGAUGUGGAACUAGUUUCACAGUGCUGAAUUAUGGAACCGAGGCACAAGGCAUAGCAAGUAAGGCACCCACUGCAUGAGAAACCCAAAGGUGGGCGACCUAUAGGAAGCGCACCAAGGCACACCUCAUGAAGGUCAGCCCAAUGGAGGAGGAGGAAGAGGAGGAGGAGAGCCUGGCUAUGGCUGCUGCUGCAGCCUGCAUGUGUCGUGCUGCUGCUGCAAUACAUGUGCUGUGCCCUCAAAAGGACCGAAAAAACAGGGUUUAGUUGGUGGCUGUUGCUGCAGCGAGCAUGUAUUGUGCUCCUCCUGCAUGUGCUGUGUCUCAAUGUUAUGAAAUUUACAUUUGAAAUUUUGAUGCAUUGUGGUUUUCCGUAGAUCUAUGAUUAUACAGAAUUUUUUAAACAAUGGUAGUAAUGAGAUGAGGAAAGGAGAGAUGAGGAAAGGAGUCAAAGGACUAAGCUUCAUCUUAAUUGACUAAGCUAAAGCUUCAUCUUAAUUAACUAAGCUAUAACUAUUUUAUAUUUUAUUUAAAUUUUUUGCGCUUAGGCUCGUGCUUGCACCUUGCGCUAGGCUCCAGGACCCAUUGGUACCUUAGUGCGCCAUGCGCUAUUAAUAAUUAUGGUCCUAAUCUAACCUAGAUAGUUAAGAAUUUCUUUUAAUUAGGGCAGAAAAUACCAAGGAACAUGAUAAAUUGAAAUAUCAUUUUUAAUAUUGUGAUUGAAAGCUAGGCUAUCUCAUUUUCAACAUGCACGUGUGUGUAUACGUGUGUGUGUGUGUGUGUG
rnacentral:misc_RNA from 1 species